CCUGCCCCACAACCUGGGCUUACUGGACAGACUUCCGUUGGAGGCGUGGCCCGGCCGUGGCCGGUUGGGCACGCCCUUUUCCUAGUCCCACUCUCGGUCUCUGACGCUCUAAUACUCUUCCUCCACCGCUGGGGCUUUUAGUGAUCCUCAGGUCCCCAUCUCUGCAUAAAGACAGGAAUCUUCACAGGGAGACAAGGUCUGUGGAGGCAGCUCAGAAAUCAGAUCUACCUAUCAUCAGAUUCCCUUCAUCUAGAAUACUUCUUGGACUUCUUCAUCAGAAGAUUCUGCUCCAUCUCCAUGAUCUCCAACAUGGUACUCUCAACUGAAGACUUCCUUUGUUGACUAAAGUUGUUAAUUAUUUCAAGUAGUUUUUAAGUUGUCUCUAGGAUUUUCCAAGUAUAGCAUUGUAUCAUAUACAAAGAAUGAAAGUUUUCUUUCCUCAAUGCCUAUUCUAAUUCCUUCAAUUUCUUUUUCUUCUCUUAUUAAUAUAGCUAGUAUUUCUAGUAAAGUAAUGAAGAAUAGUGGUAUCCUUGUUUUCCAAUCCUGAUCUUACUGGGAAUGCUUCUAGCUUAUCCCUAUAAAAAGUAAUGCUUACAGAUGGUUUCAGAAGGUUACUACUUAUCAUUUUACAGAAAGCUCCAUUUAUUCCUAUGCUUUAUUCUUUUUAUUUAUUGUUUUUAAUAGGAAUAAGUGUUAUAUUUUGUCAAAAGCUUUUUCUUGAUCUAGUAAGAUAAUCAUAUGAUUUCUAUUGGUAUUAUUAUCAAUAUAGUAAAUUAUGCUAAUAGUUUUCCCAAUAUUGAACUAGCUUGGAAUAAAUCUCUAAAAUGUA